AAUAUUGGUCAAUGGGCGCAAGCCUGAACCAGCCACGUCGCGUGAAGGAAGACGGCCCUACGGGUUGUAAACUUCUUUUGUAAGGGAAUAAAGUGUAGUACGUGUACUAUUUUGCAUGUACCUUACGAAUAAGGAUCGGCUAACUCCGUGCCAGCAGCCGCGGUAAUACGGAGGAUCCGAGCGUUAUCCGGAUUUAUUGGGUUUAAAGGGUGCGCAGGCGGGGGAUUAAGUCGGCGGUGAAAUUUUGCAGCUCAACUGUAAAAGUGCCUUCGAAACUGGUUUCCUUGAGUGUGGAUGAAGUAGGCGGAAUUUGUGGUGUAGCGGUGAAAUGCAUAGAUAUAGGAAGGAACACCAGUGGCGAAGGCGACCACCUGGGCUAAUACUGACACUGAGGUGCGAAAGCGUGGGGAGCAAACAGG
rnacentral:rRNA from 1 species